GACGAACGCUGGCGGCGUGCUUAACACAUGCAAGUCGAACGGAAAGGCCCUGCGUUUGUGGGGUGCUCGAGUGGCGAACGGGGGAGUAACACGUGAGUAACCUGCCCUUGACUUUGGGAUAACUUCAGGAAACUGGGGCUAAUACCGGAUAGGAGCUCCUGCUGCAUGGUGAGGGGUGGAAAGUUUCGGCUGUUGGGGAUGGACUCGCGGCUUAUCAGCUUGUUGGUGGGGUAGUGGCUUACCAAGGCUUUGACGGGUAGCCGGCAUGAGAGGGUGACCGGCCACCAUGGGACUGAGAUACGGCCCAGACUGCUACGGGCGGCAGCAGUGGGGAAUCUUGCACAAUGGGCGGAAGUCUGAUGCAGAGGCGCCGCGUGCGGGAUGACGGCCUUCGGGUUGUAAACCGCUUUCGCCUGUGACGAAGCGUUAGUGACGGUAAUGGGUAAAGAAGCACCGGCUAACUACGUG
rnacentral:rRNA from 1 species